rnacentral:misc_RNA from 1 species
GCACGAUCCCAGAAAGACCAAGAUCAUGAGCGACGGAAAUUGGGUUCCUCGGAAAGUUCUUGGAGCUGUCCCUCAUGAUAUUGGGUUCAACGAUCCUUGGUUUGAAGUAAAUGCUUACAACCUUUUGAACGUCACCAGAUGGAAGGAUUUAGCUUCCAAAUUCGUUCUUCAGGUUUACAGAGAUGUGGUUGCUACAGGGGAUAAGAAUUUUGCACAAUCUGUUUGGCCUUCGGUGUAUGUGGCCUUGGCUUUUAUGGAACAAUUUGAUAAAGAUAAAGAUGGAAUGGUUGAGAAUGAGGGGUUUCCUGAUCAGACUUAUGAUACUUGGACUGUGAAGGGUGUGAGUGCCUAUUGCGGUGGCCUGUGGGUGGCUGCUCUUCAGGCGGCUUCAGCAUUGGCUUCUGAGGUUGAUGAUGAUGCCGCUGCUCAUUACUUUUGGAUCAAGUAUCAGAAGGCGAGAAGUGUUUAUGACACCUUAUGGAAUGGCUCCUACUUCAACUAUGACAAUAGUAAGGGUCCUUGGAGUUCGUCUAUUCAAGCUGAUCAACUGGCUGGACAAUGGUAUGCUAGAG